rnacentral:rRNA from 1 species
UGCGUAGGGGGCUAGCGUUGUCCCGAUUUAUUGGGCGUAAAGCGCGUGUAGGCGGCCAGGUAGGUCCGUUGUGAAAACUGGAGGCUCAACCUCCAGACGUCGACCGAAACCAUCUGGCUAGAGUCCGGAAGAGGAGAGUGGAAUUCCUGGUGUAGCGGUGAAAUGCGCAGAUAUCAGGAAGAACACCCGUGGCGAAAGCGGCUCUCUGGGACGGUACUGACGCUGAGACGCGAAAGCGUGGGGAGCGAACAGG